CAAGCUGCUGUGAGAAAUUUCCUUGUGGAUACAUGCAAGCCUAUGGUUCUCUCUCCUAAGAUGAUUUGCUC
ensembl:lncRNA